GACGAACGCUGGCGGCGUGCUUAACACAUGCAAGUCGAACGGAAAGGCCCUGCUUUUGUGGGGUGCUCGAGUGGCGAACGGGUGAGUAACACGUGAGUAACCUGCCCUUGACUUUGGGAUAAAUUCAGGAAACUGGGGCUAAUACCGGAUAGGAGCUCCUGCUGCACGGUGGGGGUUGGAAAGUUUCGGCGGUUGGGGAUGGACUCGCGGCUUAUCAGCUUGUUGGUGGGGUAGUGGCUUACCAAGGCUUUGACGGGUAGCCGGCCUGAGAGGGUGACCGGCCACAUUGGGACUGAGAUACGGCCCAGACUCCUACGGGAGGCAGCAGUGGGGAAUAUUGCACAAUGGGCGGAAGCCUGAUGCAGCAACGCCGCGUGCGGGAUGACGGCCUUCGGGUUGUAAACCGCUUUCGCCUGUGACGAAGCGUGAGUGACGGUAAUGGGUAAAGAAGCACCGGCUAACUACGUG
rnacentral:rRNA from 1 species